rnacentral:rRNA from 1 species
UACGAAGGGGGCUAGCGUUGCUCGGAAUCACUGGGCGUAAAGCGCACGUAGGCGGCUUUCUAAGUCAGGGGUGAAAUCCUGGAGCUCAACUCCAGAACUGCCUUUGAUACUGGAGAGCUCGAGUCCGGAAGAGGUGAGUGGAACUGCGAGUGUAGAGGUGAAAUUCGUAGAUAUUCGCAAGAACACCAGUGGCGAAGGCGGCUCACUGGCCCGGAACUGGACGCUGAGACGCGAAAGCGUGGGGAGCAAACAGG